rnacentral:lncRNA from 1 species
CUAGAUACACCCCCGUGUACAAGGUCACUCUAUGCACAUGACCUGGUGGAAGCUUAAGAAUAUCAAGAAUGAAUUGAAGAAGCUAAAUUCAGGAGUUUUCUGAUGUUGAUAGGAAAAUCAUUGUUGUCAGGAAGAAGCUAUUGGGAUCUGCUGCUAAUGCGCUACCUGAUAUUGAUCCAAGGGUGAUGUCAGAAAGAUUUACUCUUAAUAGAAGUCAACAACUAGCUCUAAUUACUCCAAUCACUAGAGAGGAAGUGCACUUGGCUAUGAAAGACAUUAACAUUACCAGUUUAAAAGAAAAAAUCAUGGCUAUCAAAGGCAUAGAUGAUAACAAGUGUGAUGGGCUGAAUGCAUUUUUUUCCUCAAAUCGUUGAUGCAUUCUUAUUGCUAAUUAAAUGAUUCCUUUUCCAUUUUUAUAGACAUCAAUUCAAACUGUG